rnacentral:rRNA from 1 species
UACGUAGGUUGCGAGCGUUAUUCGGAUUUACUGGGCGUAAAGCGCACCGAGGUGGCUUCUUAAGUUGGAUGUGAAAUCUCCCGGCUCAACUGGGAGGCGCCAUUCAAAACUGGGGAGCUUGAGACCAGCAGGGGAAAGUGGAAUUCCCGGUGUAGUGGUGGAAUGCGUAGAGAUCGGGAGGAACACCAGUGGCGAAAGCGGCCUUCUGGACGGAUACUGACGCUGAGACGCGAAAGCGUGGGGAGCAAACGGG